rnacentral:piRNA from 1 species
UCAACAAGUCAACAAAUUGAA